rnacentral:lncRNA from 1 species
GGAGCGGGUCCGGGGGAGAGGCUGGGGCGGGGCCAUGAAGCGACGGCUUAAGGGUCGCCGUGCGGGGCUGAGGUCAUUCACUGAGCGCUGCUCGCCGGGGGUCUGUGGUCAGGGUGUGAGGGGGUAAAGGACGGUCGGGCUGGGCGGGGCGGCCGGAGGAGUCCUGGAGGUGGUCCCGCUGGACGAUAAAGUACCGCGGGGAGCCAGGGGCAGGUUUCCGUGUUAAGGUAGCUUUGAGGAACGGGACAGCUGGGAUGAAAUUGCCAGGUGGGAAGCAGUGAGGGGUGGUGAGGAGGGUAUUGGGAUGUUCCUGUGGCACAAAGCGAUGGUGAAGGAUGCACUUCUUCCUAGGGGGAAUGGUGCUGCUGAUAUCGGGGUGUGCCACGUGUAGAGUGUCCCUCCCAAGGGAGGGACCGAGCAGGGCAUUUCUGCCUGGGAAGAGAUAAAAUGCACUAUCCCUAAGGUCUGGAGGUGCACUAAAAGUUAAAGAUCGAGUGUUUUGCUCUGGCUUCGUCACCUGGUUCUGUUCUCUUGAAGUGCUGAGAAGCAUGAACUCUGAUGGGAGGUUCUCCACAUGAUGCAGGAGAUUUGUAAACCUGUCCUCCAGUGCGUAUCUGGUACAAUGGUUCUGUCCUCAUCUGUAAGAGCCAGGCUAUGUCUUGCCACGGACAGGACUGCUGACUAUAUUUUCUCACUACCCUGUAUCCUAUGGAACAUGCUUGAUGACACACAGUGACAUCUGUUCAUACAGAGGAGAGAUUUCAUCACUGCAGGUCUUGGAGCUCCCAGUUGAUUUCUCAGCUUUCAGUGCACAAGUCUUUGAACUGAACUAGCUGAAUAGACCAAAACAUCUCCCUGUACUAAGACAAAAGACUCCUGUUGUCAAAAUAAGGUUCCUGUUUUAACAAGCCGUGAAUCUGGAAGUUUGGACAGUGGGUUAUAUGGAUUUAAUGGUUUGAUAUAAAGUGCCAACCGAGAACCUGUACUACUUGCUCUUUUCAAGUUGAAUUUUAAACAAAUUAUUAAAAAAAAAAACCACAACAAAGAGAAUAUGCUUCUGCACUCCAGCUGCUCUGGUUUAGAGUCCAAUGU